rnacentral:lncRNA from 1 species
GGGGUCCAAGUCUACAGUGAGAUAAGGUUCUGGAAGAAUGUGUUCAAACCCACAUCUCCUUACACACUUGAAUCCAUAUACAACAUACUUGCAGCACUGGAGGUAGUAUGUCUUGAAGAGCUAAAGCAGAUCUAUGCAGAAUUGAGUCAGAGAACAUGCCAUGGAAGGAAACACAACCUCCCCAAACCAACUGGGCCAGUUCUAAAGCUAAGAGGAAAAGCAGUGGAUCUCAGUGCACCAAGUCUGUGUGAACUUCUUUUGUCAUGCCAGGAAUUCUCUUGUGCUCUUUCUUACCCUGGUCUUUCUUCUGUCUCCAGAGAGUUCCCUCAACACCAGGACAUAGAACUUCGUCCACUGUCUCCCCAAAUCUUCACAUUUCAAUUGAUCUCCCAGUUGCUGCAGAAUGGAUUGUAGUUAAGAGGAACAACAUAACUGGUAGAGCAGCUACUUGCAUUGUGUAGGAAUUUUACUUAGGUGAUAUUGUUAGUAACAACAGUAAACAUUUAUUAAGAACGAGCACGAUAUUUGACACAGGAAGACCUGUUACAUAAAUAAAGUCUGGUGAGUUUAUAAUUCA